ensembl:misc_RNA 7SK 7SK RNA
GGAUGUGAGGGCGAUCUGGCUGCGACAUCUCUCACCCCAUUGAUUGCCAGGGUUGAUUCAGCUGAUCUGGCUGGCUAGGCGAGUGUCCCCUUCCCCCCUCACCACUCCAUGUGCUUCCCUCAGGAAGCUGUGUGCUCAGUUGAAGAGGACGGCCUUCCCCGAAUAGAAACAGUCUUCAGUCUAGGGUAUACGAGUACCUGUGCUCCCCUGCUAGAACCUCCAAACAAGCUCUCAAGAACAUACAUCAUUAGCUCCGUUUUUAUAAAUUAGAAAACAUACACAGAAAUACUACUCAACUUGCCCCACUGCGUAGAGCUACCAGAGAUUUGU